UACGUAGGGCGCAAGCGUUGUCCGGAAUUAUUGGGCGUAAAGAGCUCGUAGGCGGCUUGUCACGUCGGGUGUGAAAGCCCGGGGCUUAACCCCGGGUCUGCAUUCGAUACGGGCUGGCUAGAGUGUGGUAGGGGAGAUCGGAAUUCCUGGUGUAGCGGUGAAAUGCGCAGAUAUCAGGAGGAACACCGGUGGCGAAGGCGGAUCUCUGGGCCAUUACUGACGCUGGAGGAGCGAAAGCGUGGGGAGCGAACAGG
rnacentral:rRNA from 1 species